CACCAACAUCCACAUUAUUUGAGUUUCUCACAGCUGUACUGAUCCUAUUCAAAUUCUGUUCUUCUGUCUAACACAAUCGUCUUUGGCAGUGUCACCAUCACAGUAUUCCAAAACAGAGUAUUUCACACUGUGCUGGAGACACCAGCAGGAACUUGACUGAAAAUUUCGGAAUUGCCUAUGUUUUUUUCUUCAAACUUUGCCCGUCCAAUUGGUGAUCUGCUAAACGUGUAUUGAGAAUAUUCAAAUCAGGCACAGGAUAAAUACUAGAUCAGCAGUCGCAGAAGAGAUCGUGCAGAUCUCUAGGCUUGUACGUAUCAUUUCCAAAAUAUCAAGCUUAAACUAUUGAAAUGGGUCUCCGUCUGCUUGUUCUGUCUGUCCUCUUAAGGACCCUGGCUACAGCUGAGCCUCUCCAGUACCAAUGCGAGUGUCACUUUCGAAUUCUAGAUGGGCAGCUCCGCAAACCCUUUCUCAUCCUUCCGGGCCCUGUGGUAGAGACCAGCGGAGGGCCGUGUGAUGCAGAGUUGAUCUGCAAGGUCCCCUGUCAGUCUAUCCUUGCUGGGUACCAGGUGACUCAUGACGUAGCAGAGCAAGCCUGUGCCACAGCAUCUCCUCCUCCUCUGGGCAACUGGGAGUUUGCGAAGUUCAGUAUGGUGAAGGACAAUGUCUGCACGUCUCAGGUGUUGGAUCCCAUUCUGAUGACAUUCACCUGUGGAGACGGGAAAGUAGUAAAGCAUACUCCUGUGACCCUGGACAACUUUAUUCUGCAUGGUGCAACAAGACUUCUGCUUGAAAAUGAAAACUGAGCGUUUCAUUUGGAACCUUUCUGAAAAAGAAAUAAAACAACUUUUGAUUGCACCUUCAAUAAUUAAACACAAUAAAGAAAAAUCAAUAAAAUCCCAAAAGUGUUGGUUGUGGUAUGAAAAUUUCUUGUCUCUUCCUCAUUGUACAAAUAAUAUCCACAGACAAGGUACUUAUCUCCUUAUCUGGAGAUAAGGCACAGAUGAAGUUUUACUUAAUAAAACAUUUAAUAAUAAUUCCAUUAGAAAACUGCUGUCAUGGUUGACAUCCCUCCUCUAGAGGGCGCUCCACAACUCUCUUGUCAUUAGAUCCGUG
rnacentral:lncRNA from 1 species